rnacentral:rRNA from 1 species
UGCGUAGGCGGCGCGGUAAGUCGGGUGUGAAAUCUCGGAGCUUAACUCCGAAACUGCAUUCGAUACUGCCGUGCUUGAGGACUGGAGAGGAGACUGGAAUUUACGGUGUAGCGGUGAAAUUCGUAGAUAUUCGCAAGAACACCAUGGCGAAGGCGGCUCACUGGGCCAUUACUGACGCUGAGGCACGAAAGCGUGGGGGAGCAAACA